UCCCCGGAGGACCAUUGGUUAGGCCACGGCACUCUCACCGCCAAGGCCUGGGUUCGAUUCCUAGCCAGGGAA